CCAAGUCGGAGGAGCCGCUGGAGUGUCUCCCUCUACCGGAGGCUCUCGGGCGGCGGGCGCGGGCCUGCUCCUGCGGCGGGGAGGCGGGCAGCCUGGAGAAGCGGCUCCACUCGCGGGGAGCCUCGGAUGGGGAGCGCGGGGGUACCCCCCUCCCCAGGAACUCAGGAGCAACCUCCUUCCCCACAAGGCAAGUCCUCCUUUAGCGAACAAGCGGGGCCGAAUUCCAAGACAACUGCUGGUGCUGAGGGGACCGAGAUGAGAUAGGGAGGCUGGAAGUCCAAGAUCAAGGUGCCAGCAGAGUCGGUUUCUGGAGAGGCUUCUGCUCCUGGCUUAUAGAUGGCACCUUCUCACUGUGUCCUCACAUGGCCCCUCCUCUGUGUACACAGGCAGAGAGACAGCUCUGGCCUGGUUGACAGACUUAUCACUGGUCACCUGGAAUAUUCUGAUAAUUUUCUAACUGGUCUAAAUGCCUCCGAUACCUCCAAUCCCUCCUACACACUGACACAAGAAUGUUCUUCCUAAAACAAAGCGCCCUUGGAUCCCCCAAAAGAGAACACCAGCUCUGGAAUCACCAGGACUUGGCUCAGAUCUCCACCCUGUAAUGAAAUGGCCAGCUAUCUGGGACGUUACUGGCAAGUGCC